UACGAAGGGUGCGAGCGUUGUCCGGAUUUAUUGGGUUUAAAGGGUGCGUAGGUGGCCUGUUAAGUCAGUGGUGAAAUACGGUUGCUCAACAAUCGAGGUGCCAUUGAUACUGACCGGCUUGAAAUAAUUGGAGGCUGCCGGAAUGGAUGGUGUAGCGGUGAAAUGCAUAGAUAUCAUCCAGAACACCGAUUGCGAAGGCAGGUGGCUACGAUUUGUUUGACACUGAGGCACGAAAGCAUGGGGAGCAAACAGG
rnacentral:rRNA from 1 species